UACGUAGGUGGCAAGCGUUGUCCGGAUUUGCUGGGUGUAAAGGGCGUGCAGCCGGGCUGACAAGUCAGAUGUGAAAUCCCGCGGCUCAACCGCGGAACUGCAUUUGAAACUGUCAGUCUUGAGUACCGGAGAGGUCAUCGGAAUUCCUUGUGUAGCGGUGAAAUGCGUAGAUAUAAGGAAGAACACCAGUGGCGAAGGCGGAUGACUGGACGGCAACUGACGGUGAGGCGCGAAAGCGUGGGGAGCAAACAGG
rnacentral:rRNA from 1 species